AUCGACAAAGUGCGCACUGCUAUUAACAUGCCCAAAACUGAUCCGAAAGUGGUGGAGACAGUCUCAGAGCUGAGGGAAGCAUCCAACUACUGGGUCGCCAAGUACCGCAAGGAGAAGUCGCUCCUCGGACGCUCCUCCUUCCGUGACGUUUACUCUGCCCUCAAUGCCGUCUCCGGCCACUACAUCAGCUUCGGACUCACUACGCCAAUUCCAGCCAAGCGCAAGACCCGCAUCCUCGAGGAGAUGGACA
rnacentral:misc_RNA from 1 species